GAACCCAGUAUAAACCCAUGCUGGGACCUUGAGUUAGACUUUAUGAGUUUAGCUCUGUAUUGCUGCCUGUGAAAUCUUGGCUAGGUUGAGACUGAAUAACCUCUUUGAGAUUUAAUUUCUA